UUUGGCAUCCCGUUGCAAAGGACUCACGAGGGAUUCAGCUGUGCUGUUUGGUUUCUCUAGUGCUGCUUGUCACCAUUGAACAAUUGAAAACAAUAUCUCAAAAAAUCAUAAAAAAUCAAGAAAAACAGAAAAUAUUAAAUAAUAUAAGACAUUCACCAGCAGUGUUAGAACCACAAACCAGGAAAAACUCAGGACUAAGUCUCUAUACAAAUACAUAAUUCAAGUCUAAAAUCAUGUCAACCAGGUUAUAGUAUCAGUAAUAGCUAGCAUGAAUACAGAUGGUUUCCAUGCUUUACAUCCAGUACACAGACAUAAACUAGGUUAUAUGAACUGAAAGCUAAAAUCUGCACCAAUAUUUAAAUUAGCCCUCCAGCUCACACCAAUAUAUUACAUAGACAACAGCAGCAUAAAAAAUGGACAAAUAGUAGGUGCAUGUAUAUAAAAAAUGAUAGACAUGAAGAGCAAAAUCUAUCUAUGAUCUUGAACGUUUCUCAGAUGCUAAUUAUGAAGGCCACUUCACUUUUCUCUGAUCAUGUGUUGCUUCUACCGGUCCUGUAUAAGUAACACAAAAGAAAUGGUGAGUUCCAAGAAUAUGCAGCAGAACAACGUGAAGUGUCAUGCUUGAUACACAUUUCAUAUCAUGAACUGGUGAGUUGCAUGCAUAUCUCCCUUAUCUUUGUACAAAUAAAAUGGUCAAAACAAGGGGCUCACUCACCUCUCUAUCACAAGAUAUAGAAAGCUGAGACAUACUACACAUAUAGCAUUCUAUUCUAGAGAGAGCUAUUAGCAAACCUGAUUAUAGACAUUUUAGAGAGAGAGCUAUUAGCAAAUGUAGUAUAUUUAUUAAUUAUAAGCAUUAAAACUGAACCAAACUGAACUCUAGUGCAGCAAAAUACCUCUAUAGGGGCUAGCAAGAGCUGACCGAAAUGGUUCAAACUCUGCUGCGGCAAAAUACCUCUACAGAUGUCAAUUGUCAGCUAGAUGUCUUCAGCGACAAAGUUGCAGUGAGCAGACAGAUUGUGGCAGGGAAAAUCGUUGCGUGGUUUCUCGGCGCGGGGAAAUCACGGGGAACCCUCCGGAAUCCCGUGCUGCCUCUUUGGAAGCACACCCACGCGGGGACAGCAGCCUGUUUCCCUUCAUUUUCCACGCGGAAGAAAUCCAGGAGUCAUGCGGCCGGGAGCGUUUCCUCUUCCCUGACCCCGUCGCUCGCUCGACGACUCACGAGGGGGCAGCCGCCGCCGCCACCGUCGCCAUCACCCCGGCGGCUCAUGGUCGACGCGUCGCUCUUGUCGUGCAUCUCCCGGUGGCCGGCAACUGGUGUGCAUCUCCUGGUUCCCGGCGAUGCAUCUCUCGCGAAUCGCGAUCGUGCCACUGCCGCCGCAAGAUCCACAUCUCGGAGCAGCACCUCCACCUCCACCUCAGCCCCGUCCUCCUAGCAGGGCAAAAUCUCGUAGAUCUUGGGGUGACCGAGCUGCCGUAUCCUCCUCCAUACUCCAACAUCCAUGGAGAAGCGUCGUGCCACCGAGCCUAUCUCCAUACCUCACUCAGCCGAAGCGUGGUGAGCAUGCACCCUAUCAUUCUUGUUGGUGGCUGUGAAAAGGAGUGGGGUAUCUGGUACCUCAUGGCUUUGUAUUUUUGUGAUAUUGUUCGGUGAUUUUGCUAAAUCUGUGAUUCAUGUCUACCCGAUUAGAAAGAUUUCCCUGGUAAUUUUAUUCAUGCUCAUAAGUAUGCAGGUUGGGUAUUGCAAAAUUUGUGAUUAUUGUGUCUAGACGAUUCAGCGAGCAAUUAGUUUAUGUUCUAUCGUAAAUUUAAGAAAAAAAUACCUUUACAUAGAUUUCUUGAUCAGCUAAAAGUUUCAGUAACCAAUAUACAGUAAAAUAGAAAUACUGCACUUCAUAACAUAACAGUCCAAGAAGUUGACACUUCAUGAGACCCAAGCUGGAAGGAUCCCAAUUAGCCAGUGCUAUGAGAUAGUGCAACAUGGUGAGUUUGAUAUAUAUAUAUAGGAGAUUGCUUGUUGUGCUUCACUGCAUUUGCAUAGGUCCUGUGAUGACAUGUUAAUAUUUUUAAUUUUUCUAAUUUUAAGUGAAUCAUACUACUGUUCUAGCAGUGUGAUUAGUCUAAAAGUGAAUCAUACAAAUGCAGUGCCAGUAAUUGAUGCUGGAGAUGGCGUGCAUGUGUCUUCAGGUGCAUCAACAAAUGUCGUUGCUGAAGAUGAAGGAGCAGGUGAUAAAUUGAGUUAAAAUUUCAGUUUUAGUUUCAGGUUCAGGUUUAGUUAAAUUUAGUUGCAGCAAUUAGGAUCAAGUUCAGGUUUAGUUCAAUUUAGUAGUCUUAGUACACUCUAAUGGGUAAAGGUUCAGGUUCAAUUUAGCAAUCAGGUUCAGGUUCAGUUAUCUUUUUAAGUCUAUUUAGUUGCACAGACCAAUAUUAACAAUUAGGUUCAGGUUCAGGUACUGUAGUCUGUAGAUUGUCCCUGGAAUUUGAGUACUGAUUCUGAUUGCUCAUAGCAGAGUAUGAGAACAAACAUUGGAGUAUAUGAUGAGCUUCCUUUUUCAAAAAGGAAAUGCAGUUUUAAUCAUUUUAGGAAAUGCAACUUUAAUUAUUAUUUUACUGUAGUCUGUAGAUUGUCCCUGGAAUUUCAGUGAUUGUUCCUCGUUCUCCCAAAUAAUGUUGAUGGGCUGUCCAACAAUAAUUUCUUUUUUUAGAGGAAGCAAUAAAUUCUUUACAUCUUGUGUAGGGACAGUUAUGAAAAGGAGCUGUUGUUUGAGUUUAGUAGAUGCUCUGGUUCUGCUAGCUGCUUGCUACUUCUAGUAUGACCAGUACUCUAGAAUUAGAUUGGUUUGUGUGGCAGAUACAAAACUAUGUCUAAAUUUAUGUGUUCUAGCUAACUACUAGUAUGACCAGUACUACCGCACAUUUUGUGUUUUAGUUUUCAGCUUCAAAAAGGGUGCUGUAUUUUUAACACUUGUUUUUUUAAUCGCCUUCUGCUAUAGGGUCACCGGAAUUCUGCUCACUGCAACUUUGUCGCUGAAGACAUCUAGCUGACAAUUGACAUCUAUAGAGGUAUUUUGCCGCAGCAGAGUUUGAACCAUUUCGGUCAGCUCUUGCUAGCCCCUAUAGAGGUAUUUUGCUGCACUAGAGUUCAGUUUGGUUCAGUUUUAAUGCUUAUAAUUAAUAAAUAUACUACAUUUGCUAAUAGCUCUCUCUCUAAAAUGUCUAUAAUCAGGUUUGCUAAUAGCUCUCUCUAGAACAGAAUGCUAUAUGUGUAGUAUGUCUCAGCCUUCUAUAUCUUGUGAUAGAGAGGUGAGUGAGCCCCUUGUUUUGACCAUUUUAUUUGUACAAAGAUAAGGGAGAUAUGCAUGCAACUCACCAGUUCAUGAUAUGAAAUGUGUAUCAAGCAUGACACUUCACGUUGUUCUGCUGCAUAUUCUUGGAAGUCACCAUUUCUUUUGUGUUACUUAUACAGGACCGGUGGAAGCAACACAUGAUCAGAGAAAAGUGAAGUGGCCUUCAUAAUUAGCAUCUGAGAAACGUUCAAGAUCAUAGAUAGAUUUUGCUCUUCAUGUCUAUCAUUUUUUAUAUACAUGCACCUACUAUUUGUCCAUUUUUUAUGCUGUUGUUGUCUAUGUAAUAUAUUGGUGUGAGCUGGAGGGCUAAUUUAAAUAUUGGUGCAGAUUUUAGCUUUCAGUGUGUAUUGGAUGUAAAGCAUGGAAACCAUCUGUAUUCAUGCUAGCUAUUACUGAUACUAUAACCUGGUUGACAUGAUUUUAGACUUGAAUUAUGUAUUUGUAUAGAGACUUAGUCCUGAGUUUUUCCUGGUUUGUGGUUCUAACACUGCUGGUGAAUGUCUUAUAUUAUUUAAUAUUUUCUGUUUUUCUUGAUUUUUUAUGAUUUUUUGAGAUAUUGUUUUCAAUUGUUCAAUGGUGACAAGCAGCACUAGAGAAACCAAACAGGAUGCCAAAUAGCCACAGCAAAACUCCUCCCCCCCGCGCAUGUAUAUCUCCCCAGAGAUGGUAGUGGGAAUCAAAUGUCAAAAAAAUUCCACGUGCGUGACUAUUUUCCCCGUGAUUAAUUUACCUGUGCUGCCAAAGUAAGCCUAGUAUUCCCCAUUUUCCUGGAGUCGGUUCCCCUCAUUUUCCCUAGCAACUGGCAAGCUCUUAAAGUAGACCCAUCCACUUUUUUUUUUCUUUUUUGCAUCGUUUCUGUCUUUCCUAAAGUCAGAAGAUCUGGUGUGACUACAUAAUUUUGGCAAGAGCUAGAAGAGACAGUUGGAUUGGUGUUUUGGACAUAGCCUACAUAUCAAUGAUACCAUUCACUUGCUCGGCACGUUUUUUUUACUUCUAUUCUCUCUCAUGGUCCGGUCCUUCACUCUUGUUGGUACAGUGUAGUAUAGCCAUUUAAGAUUGAAAUUUGACUCGUACGUUAAUAGAAAAAAAGGAACCUUGACAUGGUUAUUUCGAACUAUUGCAUUGUCAUGAUCAUGCGAAUUAUCACUCACUUAGGCCUUGUUUGAAUACACGUGCAUUUAUCUUAAUCUAUAUGUUGAAGUGGAUUGAAGUAGAAUUAAACUAUGUUUCAUUUCAAUUCACUCCAACACAUGUGAAUUGAAGUUGAUACAUAUGUAUUCAAAUAAGACCUUAGCUGAAUCAAAGGACGCGAGAGAGAUUUUGCCUCUCCACUCACCACCGCCUCGUACUUGCCAUUCUCUUUGUCGCCCGUUCGAUGCAUCGAUGAUGAGGCAAAAGGUAUAACCUCUUGCGAUCUCAAUAUAGCCACU
rnacentral:lncRNA from 1 species